rnacentral:rRNA from 1 species
UACGGAGGAUCCGAGCGUUAUCCGGAUUUAUUGGGUUUAAAGGGUGCGCAGGCGGAAGAUUAAGUCGGUGGUGAAAUUUUGCAGCUCAACUGUAAAAGUGCCUUCGAAACUGGUUUCCUUGAGUGUGGAUGAAGUAGGCGGAAUUUGUGGUGUAGCGGUGAAAUGCAUAGAUAUCACGAGGAACUCCGAUUGCGCAGGCAGCUUACUAAACCAUAACUGACGCUCAGGCACGAAGGCGUGGGGAUCAAACAGGAUUAGAUACCCGGGUAGUCCCU